rnacentral:sRNA from 1 species
CCUGGGGUUGAAACCCCAGGUUAUUAUCUGUCGCCCCUAUCGGGGCU